AAUUCCAGACGACUCAUUUACUCAUUUCCCGUUGUGUCGUCCGUUCUCGUGAUUUCCUCCCGACGUCAUCAUUCGUCGUCGCCGCGUGCCUCUUGUAAGUUUCCUUCUUCUUCUCUUCCUUUUUACUCCUUCAAUAAUAACCCAAAAUCCUUCGGUAAUUUUACAUGGAGGAAUUCACGAUUCUGGGGCGAGAUCUUUAGUGGUAGGAAAAAC
rnacentral:lncRNA from 1 species